AUUAUCUAUAUGUAUAACGUUAUAAAGCAUUAAAUCUUAAGUUAUAAUGAAAAAGUCCAAUAGUAUCCGUUGAGAGUUGCAACUUUGUAUUGGGAAGUUGCUUAUUGUUUAAACUCUUUAAAAAAGAAAAUGUUCAUUAAUUAAAUAGUUUGCAUUAUAGCGUGUUGCAGUUCAACUUGACGUAAUAACGGAAUAAUAAAAUCUAUAUUGUGCAAUAACGUAAAAGAGUGUCCAUUAAAUACCACUUCCUCUGCAUUUAAAAGCUCUGCAAUUAAAAAAAUAUUUGAUAUAUUCAACAUUUUUAUCGCUUAACAUAAUUUCCUUAUCUCAUCUAAAAACAUUAUGUCAAUUUUUAUGUGAGUUUAAUAUUUAAUAUGAAGCAAACUGCUUAUGUCAUACGCAAGACAGAUGAUACAAUUAAAGCAUACUUGAAACAGAUAAAAGGUAUUAAUUACAAUCCCAAAAAUAUUUUAUGCAAUACGUAAAUAGAACACAUUUUUUAAUAUUGAUAAAUACACAUAUAUGAAGUAAGACUAGACAGUCUGAAUCGUAUUCAUUGUGUUACCGUUGUAUCUACUUCAUUUUAUUCGAUAGAGAAGUGGUAGUGGUGGUAACUGUCACCCGAAGACAAUUUAUGUUAAUGACUGUUCGUAACCGAGGAGCGUCGAAGUCGCUCGACAGAACAGUCUGCAGAUCGCCGUAGCAGCGGUCGGACACGAAGCUCCUUGCUCGAGUUUCGAAUCCUCCCCACUCCUACCUCCUGUAUUCACCACCUUACCGUGUUCUAGGUGUUCCAUCCCCACGAUGGCGACGCCCAGCGCCGAUUCGUGCGCAUUUUCAUCCCCCAACUCGGGAAAGAUUCGUCCUCCCAUGGACGUCUGUGCGCUUAUUGGAAAAGAAUUAUUCUGUGAUAACUCAGUGUAUUAAUGUAAAAUUAGUGGACGCGUUAAGGUGUAUAUUGGUGUACUUGCUGGUGAGUUUGCACUCUGUCGUUUCGUUAAUAUUUGUUCAGUAUUGUUCAUGAGGAAAGCGAUAGUUGAUGAUGAUAUCGAAGUAAAGAAUUGCUUAAUCCGAAAGGAAGAAAAUAUAUUCUGUUUUGCUACAAUCCGUAUUUAAAUUAACAAGGCAAACGCUAAACGAGCCAGAACAGUUUUUAAUAUACACGCAUCAUAUAUCGGAAUUCUCCAUGUCCUUGAUAUUAUCUACUUUUACCAAACGAAAAUUAAAAAUGGCCACAGAGAGGUAGAAAAUGAUACGUUAUUGCUUAAUCAUAAUCAUGAGAGUCUUAGGUGAUAACCACAUACAAUAUUAUUUGUUUGACACAAUACCAGUAUUAGAGAAAUCUUUUUACUACAGCACAAAUUUAGCUUUAUUUAAUACAACAAAUUUACGAUGCAAACUAUUCUACAUACAUUUUGCGUAAAACUGAUAAUAAAAUUCUUUUGUUCAAUUUAAAUAGAUCUUAAUUUUCUCAUGGACACAACAAUGCAACUGCUGCAUUUACUGUGUACUUUUCAGUCAAGUAAUUCAACGUUUUCAACACACAAGUCCACUAGAACAGAUCAAUAAUCCUCUACAUAUUCUGUUAAUUGUAAUAAACAAAGACACACACACAUAUGUAAAAUAAGUAAAAAUAUCCGCGAAACGUACAAAACGCAUUCAUCCACUGACUUCUUUUCAGUCGUUUGCUCGGAUUGUGCAAGACUGUAAAGAUUCGUGCCUUCUACUUCGCAUAAUAUGCUCGGACCGUUGUAUUGACGUAUUCAGAUGAGGAAAAUGGAUAUUAGCGUUAGCGUGAUGUCGAUAGUCAGCGAGUUACACUUCGCCGUGUACAAGGCACCGCCGCGGUGGCGCCGACGGUGGCGAAUUUCACGAUUCCUCUAUAGCUUCUCGCAAUCUGGCGGGAUGCCGAUCGAUUUGCACAGUGCUCCUCGUUCGCAACACGGUUCCAUUUCGGUUCAUUUCGUAACUUGUACGGAUAGCAUAAAAUGGUCCUGAAGGGGGCAGAAGGGGAGAAACACGAGGGGAGAAGCCGAGGGGAAAAGAAUGGAGUUGCGGAACGGCCAGAGGCACGAGGGGGAAGGGAAAGAGAUGCCGGUUGGCAAGCAGAUGCUUGCCCCGUUUAUUGGUUUAUUCGUCGGCCAUGACGUUCCGUCCGGCCAUGAAACAAGCCGGAGAUUCUCCUUGUGUUAGAGAGCAUCAAACGACGAGACUACGACUGCUCUUCCUACUAAAACGCAUCGGCGAGCUACUUACUCUCGAGCUUUAUUUCCGGAGAUAAUUCUACGCCGUUUCUUCCUAAGAACAUUUGUUGGCAUUGUAUAUUGCAUAUGCACAAUAUUUAUUACGCAGCACAGAUACAAACAGCGAUUUUGAUAGUGAUGUACACAUAUAGAUGCUAUUCAGUAAUGGCGUCCUAGGCUGGACGGAAUACUCGGGUCGAUAGAAGCAAAGCCGGUUGCCUGAAAAUAUCUUUUCAUCUUAUUGCCGACAACCAUUCUCGCCGACAAUAAGCUUUUCGAUGAUUUGUCCCCAGGGAUUGAGACAACAAUGUUCAAACUGUGUUCCAUUAUAUUUAAAAAGUUCAUGUACAAACGACUAGUCUACGCGACAUGACCAAGUAACCUGGAAAUGAAAGGUACGUCGACACACGUACAGGAAUAAAAGGAGUUGUACCGCUAAGAAGACGAAGAAGAAGAAGGAGAAGAAGAAGAAAACCAAGGAGAACGCGACCUUGCUACAUUCAGCUGUGUCAUCCUCGAGCCGUUAACGCUCAGGUGGUUUCGAUCCCAGGGACGAGCAUCAAUCAUCAUCGGUAGUGCAGGUGUAAUGUGAUCAUUGUCACUGAGAUAACCCAGUACGAUAUUCACUUACGAAGCGUGUCAAGUGACAUAACAGAGUUUAUCUAUAACGGCGUAUCGAAAUACUGAAAGAAGCAGCUUCAAUGUUUGCCUCCCCCGAUUGCGUGCCAUUUGUUAGGGCAGGUCUUUGACGAGCAAAACGCAUUAUCCAUUCAAUCGCUUAGUCACGUGUUGCAAGUAGUAGUGUUGAAAUUGCACACUUUUGUAAACGAUAUCUUUUGAUUUCAAAAGUAGAUACGAAUAUUCGUAUUCAAUAGACCUAACCGUAACUUCUUGUAGGAUUUCUUCCGUAAGAAACAAGUGAAAAUUAUUGCACGGCUAACAAGACGUAAAGCAAACUGUUAUAUUGACAGUGUUAUAUGAGAAAUGCCAGCAGUUAAUUGAAAUAGGUGUGAUAGGAAAGUACUGUGAUUCUUUAAUUGUUAAAUCAAGAAAUUAUAUAACACGGAAACAUACUGAUUAUGUAAUUAGCGAGUUUACUGCUACUAGAACUAUCGUAGAUUGAUAUUGCUUUUCACAAAACUAUCUGAAAAUUAAUUUGAUGAAGAAAAGAAUUAUUAAAUUACAUGUGUAAUUUAACAUUUAAUUAUUGCCGACGAGAUACUCCGUGAAACUUACACAAAGUUUAUCGAAAAUAGGUUCUACAUAUUAACUUUCUUAAGGUAUGACUCGGCAUAUCUGAGUUAUUUCCGUAUGAUGCGUUUCGUAAGUAUGUUAAUCUGCAAUUAACACAUAUAUCUCCCUACUUUUAAUAAAAAGCAUCUACGAACCUUAAAUAGAAAUUUAAAUUGCUAAUAAAUAAGAAUAUGCAUACUGCGUUAUGGAAUCAACAGAAUACGUAACACAGGGAGUUUCUUCAGGGAGCUCAGACAUUGACAGUAAUAUUUAUUUUUAGCGUAGUGUAAGCUGCGUAAUACAAACGAAUAGGUAUAUAUUUGCAAUGAAACUAUAGAGAAACUGAAUUAAUAGAGGGAUAUUUUCAGAUUCCUAAAAACCUGUGAAGUCUACUGAAGAUCACGUACUGGGCGGACAAAGAAGUUAAGACCGGCACGUACAUCAAGUGUUCUUAAUAGAUUAGAGAAGUGAAUAUAAUAGGCGAGUAAACGAUGUGCCAUACGAGAAAGCAAAGCACGCCCAGUUAAUGCUUUACAUCUACCCUGUAGAUCCGAAUUUGUUUGAUAAGAGGCGACAAAUUCGGUUCUAGAGAGGUUUGUGUGGUGCAUACAAAGCAACGGUGAUCUUCGAGAUUGAGUGCAAUCAGAUUAUAUAUAAAUCUACGUAUAAUCGUGCCAUUAAAUUAACAUAAGAUAUUGAGCACCGAAUUCAGUUAAUAAUUAUUCGGAAAGACUUGAACGUGCGUUUCCCUGCAAUAAAUGUUGAUAUCGACGUCGUUAACGUCUCAAGGUUUCUGUGAUUGUAAUGAACGUUAAUGUAUUCGUAUGUAAAGUAUAUGCUAACCUGACUAUAACGGAAUUUAUAAAGCAAACAGGAGAUACAGGAACAUUGUAGGUAUAAUAUUCUCGCGCGCGCGCGCGCACAUGUCGAGUUCGGAUGUGUGCUACAUGAUUGUAUAAUUAGAAAGGUACAAUUAGGUCGCGCGGAAUACUUUUGAGUUUACUCGCGCGUAUUAUGAAAGAGUUAUUAAUAACGAUGAAAAAAUAACGAAUGCGAGAAAAAAAAUUAAUGAACGUCAUUACGCCCAUGGACUUGGUUGCAUGCACGUUGUUAUACUGUCGAUGAUGAACUGCUACGUCUAGCGUGACCUGUUGCACAUAAGUUCGCUCACAUAUCGCAUUAAAUUGCACAUUCUCCUCGUGCCUUAUACAGGUAGAUCCAAAUCUUGCUUACACAAUCGAUAUUAGUGUAAAAUGAAAUGUACGUGUAAAUAUGUACCGUUCACGACGUAGCUUAGUUCAGAAGCAAGUAAGUUAUUUCAUGUCGAGCGAAUGUUCUGAGUGAAUAUCUGACAUUUUUUAAAAUUAAUAACAUCUAUAAUUCAUUUACUGACUCUCUUGAACGACAAGAGCUUAAUAGACAUAUUCUAGUUCACCGUUUUAUAUAUAAAAAUAUUUCUUUAAUAUAUUUUUUAUAUUGCGAUACUCUCACUAAUGUACUUAGUGGCUUCCAAUUUUAUUUGCAUAUAUUUAAAAGUAUAUGUAUAUUAUUUACAUCUAUUUAUAAAAUAUUUUAUUUUUUAAAACGCAGUUAUUCGUUGGAUGGAUAUCUGUCACAUGCGGAUGCACGAUUUCUUGAAUCUUUCUGUAAAGGUCGAGGCAAAUCCAUUAAUCUCUGAUCGUGUUCAUAUUAAAAUGACAUGCCAGGCGUUACGCAACUGCUCAUAAGUGCUAAUGAAGUGCAUACACAGGUGUAAUUACCAAUCGAGUGGACUGCCCACUUUUCACUCGUAGCAUAAUAUAGAAGAUAAAAAAUGGUGAUUUCAUAAUCACAUGAAGAGGAAAAACGCUACCGCCUCACACAAAUCAGCGAUUCCCAACUGAUCGCACUCUGGUCAUUAAUAUUAAAAAUUUUCUAAAUAUUGUAUAGCGUUUCUUUUUAAACUUAUAAUUCUUAACGGUAGUAAUAAUAUAACGUUUCUUCUUCAAAAAAGAACAAAAUGUUUUUCUCCAAAGAAUUGCAACAAGAAUACGAUGAGAGCUUUAUGACUCCAACCGACUGAAAAUUAUUAUUACAAAAUAGAAGAUGUAAGCGUUAAACAAUUAAAAUUGCACGGAAUAUGCAUAAAGAUAUAAAUAAUUGAUUCAUGAAAUGUAAUUAAAUAUAAUAACAUUAUUAAGAUAUUGUCGACACCUGUCGAUACUUCUCUGCUUUAAAAUAUGUUACAUGAAAAACUUUGUAACAUCUCUA
rnacentral:lncRNA from 1 species